ensembl:snRNA Gm25799 predicted gene, 25799
GUGCUCGCUUCGGCAGCACAUAGACUAAAAUUGGAACGAUACAGAGAAGAUUAGCAUGGCUCCUGCGCAAGGAUGACAUGCAAGUUCGUGAAGCGUUCCAUAUUUUU